rnacentral:rRNA from 1 species
CCUACGGGAGGCAGCAGUGGGGGAUAUUGCACAAUGGGGGGAACCCUGAUGCAGCGACGCCGCGUGGGUGAAGGAGUAUUUCGGUAUGUAAAGCCCUAUCGGCAGGGAAGAAAUUGGACGGUACCUGACUAAGAAGCCCCGGCUAACUACGUGCCAGCAGCCGCGGUAAUACGUAGGGGGCAAGCGUUAUCCGGAUUCACUGGGUGUAAAGGGAGCGUAGACGGCCAUGCAAGCCAGGGGUGAAAGCCCGGGGCCCAACCCCGGGACUGCCCUUGGAACUGCAUGGCUGGAGUGCGGGAGGGGCAGGCGGAAUUCCUAGUGUAGCGGUGAAAUGCGUAGAUAUUAGGAGGAACACCAGUGGCGAAGGCGGCUUACUGGACUGUAACUGACGUUGAGGCUCGAAAGCGUGGGGAGCAAACAGGAUUAGAUACCCGUGUAGUC